rnacentral:rRNA from 1 species
UACAGAGGGGGCAAGCGUUAUUCGGAAUUAUUGGGCGUAAAGGGCGCGUAGGCGGUUCUUCAAGUCUCUCGUGAAAUCCCUCGGCUUAACUGAGGACGUGCGGGAGAUACUGAAGGGCUUGAGUCCGGAAGAGGGUGGUGGAAUUCCCAGUGUAGCGGUGAAAUGCGUAGAUAGUUGGGGAGGAACGACCGGUGGCGAAGGCGGCCACCUGGGCCAACACUGACGCUGAGGAGCGAAAGCCAGGGGAGCAAACGGG